rnacentral:snRNA from 1 species
AUACCUUUCUCGGUAUUUUGGCUAAAAUAAGGUGUAAUUAUUGUUCUUAUCAGUUUAAUAUCUGAUAUAUGGACCAUAUGUUCACUUUGAUAUUAAAUUACGCACA